GGGAUAAUCUGACCACAGCUUUUUGCACAGUGAGGGCCAAACAAUUUCAGCAGCAGUGUUGACCGUUCUGCGCCACAGUCCAACAGGAUUGAGAUACCAAUGGUUAAACUAGCAAUAGAACAUACUGCUAUUGCUAAAUAAAAAUAACCAAGCACCUGCACUUUAGAGCAGGACUUGGACUAGUCCGAGGACUUGGGCUAGGGGAGGCUGGUGAAAGCAAAUUGUUUCUUCACUCAGCUGCGUCUGCUUACUGCUGAGAGUAACUUUACAGGAAAGGAACCACUCCCACACACUGUGGAUGUGUCUGAACAUGCUGUCUUUGCCACGCAAGGAUUAAUUCACAAGGACUUGAAAUUGUAUCAGAACUGGUUUUCGGCCAAACAGCCAACCAUUAUUAACGACUUCGAGUCAUUGAAAUCCAACAUGGAUGUGUCCCGGAUUUCUGGUGCCUGGGAUAUUUUCCAGAUCAAAUUAGUGGUUUCUGUGUGAUGCGAAAAACUGAAGGUUUGUGUGAGUUGCUGUGUGCAAUACAUAUUCUUUUCUGUACAUUUCUGAUGCAUCUAUGGUACUGUAUCUUUUAAUCUUUCUCAGUGAUAUUGCUUUUGAUUUUCAGGUAACUUGGGCCAAAACUCAUCAGUCAGAUUUUAUCGUCCUCUUAUGCUCCCUCUAACUCUUCUCAGAGUAAAGAUUUCAAAAGCAAUUUAGAAAUUCUGUCAACAUCUACGAGAGAGCCAGGAGUAGGAAAAUUAUAUCUUUCUGUACUUCUCCUUAGGACAGAGUAGAGUAAAGGAGAAAGCGUUUUCUGAAAAGGGAUUCUUUUUGACCAGAAAUUUGAGUAAAUUUCUUGUCUCUUACAAGAUACAAGUGGAUCUAAGAAAGUCACACUGUUUAUCGUCAGAUCUAUUGGUGUAUAGAUUUGAAUAGACUCUAAAUGUUUCUUCAACCCACCUUCCCAAAGAAAGUAGGCUGUCUCUGUAUUCAAACUACAAAGAGUGUAUAAUCUUUGAAAAAAGAUUGAAAGCAUCUUCCUACUGUGAUAUUUUUGUGUAGAAAGCUGACUGCUGUGGGGCUGAGUUUGUGUUGGAAAAAAUGUCAUUUUCAAAGAAGAUAAAAUUCAGACUUUUACUUUCAAUAAUUAGAACGGUGAACUCUUUGAAAUUAUGCUUCUUAUUUCACGUCUUCAACAAGGCUGACCAGCAAAUGGUUCUGUAAACAAA
rnacentral:lncRNA from 1 species